GACGAACGCUGGCGGCGUGCUUAACACAUGCAAGUCGAACGGUAAGGCCCUUUCGGGGGUACACGAGUGGCGAACGGGUGAGUAACACGUGGGUGAUCUGCCCUGCACUUUGGGAUAAGCCUGGGAAACUGGGUCUAAUACCGGAUAGGACUACGCGAUGCAUGUCGUGUGGUGGAAAGCUUUUGCGGUGUGGGAUGGGCCCGCGGCCUAUCAGCUUGUUGGUGGGGUGAUGGCCUACCAAGGCGACGACGGGUAGCCGGCCUAAGAGGGUGUCCGGCCACACUGGGACUGAGAUACGGCCCAGACUCCUACGGGAGGCAGCAGUGGGGAAUAUUGCACAAUGGGCGCAAGCCUGAUGCAGCGACGCCGCGUGGGGGAUGACGGCCUUCGGGUUGUAAACCCCUUUCAGCACAGACGAAGCGUAAGUGACGGUAUGUGCAGAAGAAGCACCGGCCAACUACGUG
rnacentral:rRNA from 1 species